rnacentral:other from 1 species
GACGCCCUGCUGUGUGCGCGACGGAGUCUCGCCUUGUAAUGAGCCAACACCUUCACACUUGGGAGUUCGGCUCUGGACGUGGCGUGCAGGCCCCGGCAAGCGGGGAAGCCCACAAGCGCCCAGGAGGACACCCACCUGCCUGAGCGCAGGUUCUUACGGGCGGACUUUGGCGGCACGGUGGGGCAUUC